rnacentral:rRNA from 1 species
ACGCUGAGGCACGAAAGCGUGGGGAGCAAACAGGAUUAGAUACCCUGGUAGUCCACGCCGUAAACGAUGGAUACUAGGUGUAGGUGCUGAUUGAGGCAUCUGUGCCGUAGUUAACGCAAUAAGUAUCCCGCCUGGGGAGUACGGCCGCAAGGCUGAAAACUCAAAGGAAUUGACGGGGGCCCGCACAAGCAGCGGAGCAUGUGGUUUAAUUCGAAGCAACGCGAAGAACCUUACCAGGGCUUGACAUCCCUCUGGAUGGUAUAGAGAUAUACCAGGCCUGUACUAUUGGUGUACAGGACAGAGGAGACAGGUGGUGCAUGGUUGUCGUCAGCUCGUGUCGUGAGAUGUUGGGUUAAGUCCCGCAACGAGCGCAACCCUUAUCCCUAGUUGCCAGCACGUAGUGGUGGGGACCCUAGGGAGACUGCCGUGGAUAACACGGAGGAAGGUGGGGACGACGUCAAAUCAUCAUGCCCCUUAUGUCCUGGGCUACACACGUGCUACAAUGGCCAGCAACAGAGGGGAGCGAACCGGUAACCCGGAGCGAAUCCCAAAAACCUGGUCUCAGUUCGGAUUGUGGGCCGCAACUCGCCCACAUGAAGUCG